GGAGGCAGCAGUGAGGAAUAUUGGUCAAUGGACGAGAGUCUGAACCAGCCAAGUAGCGUGAAGGAUGACUGCCCUAUGGGUUGUAAACUUCUUUUAUAUGGGAAUAAAACAGGGUAUGCAUACCCUCUUGUACGUGCCAUAUGAAUAAGGAUCGGCUAACUCCGUGCCAGCAGCCGCGGUAAUACGGAGGAUCCGAGCGUUAUCCGGAUUUAUUGGGUUUAAAGGGAGCGUAGGUGGAUUGUUAAGUCAGUUGUGAAAGUUUGCGGCUCAACCGUAAAAUUGCAGUUGAAACUGGCAGUCUUGAGUACAGUAGAGGUGGGCGGAAUUCGUGGUGUAGCGGUGAAAUGCUUAGAUAUCACGAAGAACUCCGAUUGCGAAGGCAGCUCACUGGACUGCAACUGACACUGAUGCUCGAAAGUGUGGGUAUCAAACAGGAUUAGAUACCCUGGUAGUCCACACA
rnacentral:rRNA from 1 species